rnacentral:rRNA from 1 species
UACAGAGGUCUCAAGCGUUGUUCGGAUUCAUUGGGCGUAAAGGGCGCGUAGGCUGCGGGGCAAGUCGGGUGUGAAAUCUCAGAGCUCAACUCUGAAACUGCACUCGAUACUGCUUUGCUCGAGGACUGGAGAGGAGAUUGGGAAUUCACGGUGUAGCAGUGAAAUGCGUAGAUAUCGGGAGGAACACCGGUGGCGAAGGCGGCGAUCUGGGUAGAUACUGACGCUGAGGUGCGAAAGCGUGGGGAGCAAACAGGG